rnacentral:rRNA from 1 species
UACGUAGGGGGCUAGCGUUGUCCAGAAUCAUUGGGCGUAAAGAGCGUGUAGGCGGUCCGAUAAGUCCGCUGUGAAAGUCGGGGGCUCAACCCUCGAAUGCCGGUGGAUACUGUCGGGCUAGAGUGCGGAAGAGGCGAGUGGAAUUCCUGGUGUAGCGGUGAAAUGCGCAGAUAUCAGGAGGAACACCUAUUGCGAAGGCAGCUCGCUGGGACGUAACUGACGCUGAGACGCGAAAGCGUGGGGAGCAAACAGA